rnacentral:misc_RNA from 1 species
GCAAAAAAAUCAAAAUCUUUGUAGGUAAAGAUUUAGAUUUGGUUAAGAGAUGUAAUCUGUGAAAGAACCGGUUACACUUUUGAAAUUUAAAGGCAGUAUUGAUCAAUCCAACUGUAAACGUGAUAACACAUUUCGUUUUAUUGUUAGGAAUGAGCUUUUUGCUUGCCUAUAAACCCACUCAUCUUCAU